rnacentral:misc_RNA from 1 species
AUAUAAAUAAAAUGGUAAUUUUAGCAGCCUUAUUUUAGAUAGACAUAUGAUGAGUCGCAGUUAACAUGAAGACAAUUAUCUCUCCAAUUCUCAAUUAAGUCCAAAGUUUAAGUCCGCAAAAGACAGUCCUCUUAUGCUACAAACACCAUACAAAUGCGUGGUUUAAGUUUUCCCAAAUGCCACAGGCUAGAGUGAAAACAUUAUCUGAACCUAAACAAUCAAUAACAGGGUUGCGCCCACACUUGAUGAUCAGAUAAAUGUAUCCACUAUCCACCAUAAGUAAUUCAAGUCAAAUUACAGUGCUUUUACUAUUUCCCAAUCACAUAGGGUAGAGAGCGAACCAAAUGCCACCUGCCAUGGCUAUUCUUUUUUUAAAGAGAGAUAAAACUACACAUUAUAGUUAACAAAAUAGCUAGCGAUCGUUGCUGUUUAAUACAAUUUUAGAUCUGUGCCUCAGAAGCAAACAAAAGUCCGAUCAUUUUCAGAAAAAAAUAUUAAAACUGAACUAAUAUAUACCCUAUCAUCUUAAGUAAAAGCAAAACUGAACAAGAAUAAACUCUAAACAUUAUAGCAGUUGUAAUCCUCGACCAACUUAAAUCAAACUUAUAAGUUGAACUAAAAAUAACCAAAUCAACUUAUACAAAAAAAAUCAACUAGUUGUGCUUCCCAUAUCGAUCCAGUUCAGUAAACACAUUACAGAUAAAACAGUAUCACAAACUUAGAUUUGAUAAAGUCUACAUCAUCAAAACAUAAUAGAUCUGAAUCAGGGUUGCAAGUCAAUUGAACGUAUAAUAGAGUUAAUCCGAGCUAGGAUCAAAUAAAAGGAAAGGUAAAACAGCGAUCAUCGACAGAUCUAAGCGAUAACAGUGACUGAUUAUUUUCUCAUUUCGUUUUUGUGUUG